rnacentral:rRNA from 1 species
GGGGGGGGGUUUCGGAUUACUGGGCGUAAGCGUGCGCAGGCGGUUCGUUAAGUUCGUUGUGAAAGCCCCGGGCUCAACCUGGGAACGGCAAUGGAAACUGGCGGGCUGGAGUGUGGCAGAGGGGGGUGGAAUUCCAGGUGUAGCAGUGAAAUGCGUAGAGAUGUGGAGGAACACCGAUGGCGAAGGCAGCCCCCUGGGCCAACACUGACGCUCAGGCACGAAAGCGUGGGGAGCAAACAGGAUUAGAUACCCUGGUAGUCCACGCCCUAAACGAUGUCAACUGGGUGUUGGGGAAGCGAUUCCUUGGUACCGUAGCUAACGCGUGAAGUUGACCGCCUGGGGAGUACGGCCGCAAGGUUAAAACUCAAAGGAAUUGACGGGGACCCGCACAAGCGGUGGAUGAUGUGGAUUAAUUCGAUGCAACGCGAACAACCUUACCUACCCUUGACAUGUCCGGAACCCUGCUGACAGGUGGGGGUGCCCCAUCGGAAAGCUGAACACGUGUGCUGCGUGGGUGUCCUCAUCUCGUGUCGUGAGAUGUUGGGUUAUGCCCCGCAACGAGCGCAACCCUUGUCCCUAUUUGCUACCCAAGGGCACUCUACGGAGACUGCAGGUGACAAACCGGAUGAAAGUGGGGAUGACAUCAAGUCCUCAUGGCCCUUAUGGGUAGGGCUUCACACGUCAUACGAUGGCCUGUACAGAGCGUUGCCAACCCGCGAGGUGGAGCCAAUCCCAUACAGCCGGUCGUAUUCCGGAUCGCAUUCUGCAACUCGACUGCAUGACAUCAGAAUCGCUAGUAAUCGCGGAUCAGCAUGCCGCGGUGAAUACGUUCACGUGUCUUGUACACACCGCCCGUCACCCCAUGGGAGUGAGGUGAACCAAAACUAGGUAGGCUAACCGCAACGCGGUCGCUUACCACGGUCUGCUUCAUGACUGGUGUGACUCGUAACAAGGUAAC